GGAUGUGAGGAUGAUCUGGCUGUGACAUCUGUUGCCCAUCGGUCCCCAGGGUUGAUGCAGCCAAUAUGGCUGGCUGGGCGGUGGUCCCGUCCUCCAUCACUCCAUGUGUGUCCCUCCCUAUUUCAAAUUAUCAAUUAUUCAUUUUAAUCAUUUUAGUCCUUAUUUACACUUUCAGUUUCUUGCACUACAGAAACU
rnacentral:sRNA from 1 species